GCGAAAGGGACAGUAAUGUGUAGGUACCUACCCCCCGAUCUGGGAUAGCUGCGGGAAACUGCAGGUAAUACCGGAUAAUGUCUUCGGACCAAAGGUGUGAUUCCGUCAGGGGAGGGGCCUGCAUCCUAUUAGCUUGUUGGUGAGGUAAUGGCUCACCAAGGCAACGAUGGGUAGCGGGUGUGAGAGCAUGACCCGCGUCAUUGGGACUGAGACACUGCCCAGACAUCUACGGAUGGCUGCAGUCGAGAAUCUUCGGCAAUGGGCGAAAGCCUGACCGAGCGACGCCGCGUGCGGGAUGAAGGCCCUCGGGUUGUAAACCGCUGUCGUUGGGGAGGAAAUGCAAAAGGGUUAUCCCUUCUGUUUGACCGAUCCAAGGAGGAAGUACGGGCUAAGUUCGUGCCAGCAGCCGCGGUAAGACGAACCGUACGAACGUUAUUCGGAGUUACUGGGCUUAAAGGGUGCGUAGGCUGCACGGAAAGUUGGGUGUGAAAGCCCUCAGCUCAACUGAGGAAUUGCAUCCAAAACUGCCGUGCUAGAGGGAGACAGAGGUGAGCGGAACUCAAGGUGGAGCGGUGAAAUGCGUUGAUAUCUUGAGGAACACCGGUGGCGAAAGCGGCUCACUGGGUCUCUUCUGACGCUGAGGCACGAAAGCUAAGGUAGCAAACGGGAUUAGAUACCCCGGUAGUCUUAGCUGUAAACGAUGAGCACUUGAUUGGAGGGUCCUCCAUAGCCUUCCAGUCGUAGCGAAAGUGUUAAGUGCUCCGCCUGGGGAGUAUGGUCGCAAGGCUGAAACUCAAAGAAAUUGACCGGGGCUCACACAAGCGGUGGAGGAUGUGGCUUAAUUCGAGGCUACGCGAGGAAACCUUAUCCUAGUCUUGACAUGUAUGGAUUAACCCUGUGAAAGCAGGGCACGCCUUCGGUGGAACAUAACACAGGUGCUGCAUGGCUGUCGUCAGCUCGUGUCUAAAAUGUCUCGCUAAGUCGCUUAACGAACGAAACCGUGAUCUCUAUUUGCCAGCGCGGUAUGCCAGGGACUCUACAGCAGUACGGUGCCGUAGGCCGGAUGAGUGGGCAUGACUUCAGUCUCUCAUGUCUUAUGAGAACUA
rnacentral:rRNA from 1 species